CGGGCCACGUCUUGAGCCUGGGCGCCAGCAGCUUCGUGGAGGAGGAGCACCAGACCUGGUACUUCCUCGUGAACACCCUGUGUCUAGCUCUGAGCCAAGAAACCUACAGAAACUACUUUCUGGGAGAUGACGGUGAGCCUCCGUGUGGCCUCUGUGUGGAACAAGGGCAUGACGGGGCCACAGCAGCGUGGCAGGACGGGCCUGGCUGUGAUGUCCUGGAGCGAGACAAAGGCCACGGAAGCCCCUCUACCUCCGAAGUGCUCAGAGGCCGCGAGAAGUGGAUGGUGCUGGCCAGUCCGUGGCUAAUACUGGCCUGCUGCCGGCUGCUGCGCUCCCUAAACCAGACAGGUGUGCAGUGGGCUCACCGGCCUGACCUCGGCCAUUGGCUCACCAGCCACAGCGAGAAUGCGCUCAUUACUGCGAAGAUGGCACCAAGCCAUUCGUGAGGAAUCUGCCCCCAUGACCCAGACAUCUCCCACAAGGCUCACUUCCAACACUAGAGGUUCAGUGUCUUUUUUUUUUUCUGAAACGGAGUUUCACUCUGUCACCCAUGCUGGAGUGCAGUGGCACGAUCUUGGCUUACUGCAAUCAAGAGAUUCUCCUGUCUCAGCCCCCUGAGUAGCUGGGAUUACAGGCGCCCGCUACCAUGCCUGGCUAAUUUUUGUGUUUUUAGUGGAGAUGGGGUGUCACCAUGUUGGCUGGGCUGGCCUUGAACUCCUGACCUCAAGUGAUCCACCCACCUCGG
rnacentral:sRNA from 1 species